rnacentral:lncRNA from 1 species
UUAGAGAGAGAUCUAAACCAAUACACAAAUGGGUGUACUUUCAUUUUUGUUCGUCUGCUGUAAGUCAUUGUGUUUAAUUAUAUUUAUUUAAUUUGUUAGAGAGAGCUCUACGCCUAUAGAGUAUAACAAAUGGAUGCAUUUUUGUUUUCCUUCAUCUGUUGUAAGUUACUGUUUUUCUUGUCUGAAUCCUCUUUUGCUUCCGACACCAUUACUUCAUCUCAGUCCCUCAGCGAUGGCAGGACCUUAGUUUCAAAAGAUGGAAGCUUUGAGCUUGGUUUCUUCAGUCCUGGUAGUUCCAAGAAUCGUUACGUAGGAAUUUGGUACAAAAAUAUGCCUGUUAAAACUGUUGUUUGGGUUGCAAACCGAAUCAACCCCAUUAAUGACUCUUCUGGCUUGUUAGUUGUAAACCAGACGGGCAAUCUUGUUUUAACAAGCCAGGACAAGAGUGUAGUUUGGUCAGCAAACUUGAGUAAAGAAGUCCGGACUCCAGUUGUAUUGCAGCUACUAGAUUCAGGAAAUCUUGUCCUCAGAGGUGAACGAGAUGGUGGUUCUGAAACUUAUUUAUGGCAAAGCUUUGAUUAUCCUUCUGAUACAUUGCUACCGGGAAUGAAGCUCGGAUGGGAUUUGAAGACUGGUCUUGAGCGGUGUAUAACAUCAUGGAAGAGCCCAGAUGACCCGUCUCCUGGAAACUUUAUUUGGGCAGUUGAACGACAAGAUAAUCCUGAGUUAAUCAUGUGGAAGGGAUCAAGAAAGUUUCAAAGGAGUGGCCCAUGGAAUGGCCUUCAAUUCAGUGCUACACCAUUGAGGCCAAACCCCAUUUUUAACUUCAGCUUUGUCUCUAAUGAGGAUGAGCUGUACUACACCUUCGACAUGAGAGAUAAAGCUGCUUUCUCAAGGAUUGUUAUGAACCAAACACUCUAUUUACGUCAACGAUUCAUAUGGGAUAAAGCAACUCAAAGUUGGGAAUUGUAUUCAAAUGUGCCAAGAGAUCUAUGUGACACUUAUGCCCUUUGUGGUGCCUAUGGCAUUUGCAUCAUUAGCGAUAUGCCUGUUUGCCAAUGUUUAAAAGGUUUUAAACCAAAGUCAAGGGGAUAUGUGGACUGGUCUCAAGGGUGUGUGCGUUAUAAGUCGUUAAACUACUCGAGACAAGAUGGAUUCAUCAAAUUCACUGCGAUGAAAUUGCCAGAUGCUACUCUUUCUUGGGUGAGCAAAAGUAUGAAUCUCAAUGAAUGCCGGGAGAAAUGCUUAGACAACUCUUCUUGUAUGGCAUACACAAAUUCAGAUAUCAGAGGAGAAGGCAGUGGCUGUGCCAUGUGGUUUGGUGAUCUGAUUGACAUCAGAUACUUCCAAGAUGGUGGGCAGGACUUGUAUAUUCGAAUGUCUGCUUCAGAGCUAGGUAUCCGUAUACUUAUUUAUGUCAUUCCAUUAUGAAAACUUAGGAGUACAAGUCCAGUUAGACUAGUUCCACAUUUUUAUUGUGCAAUUUAGUAUUGAGUUCUGAUUGAGAAGCUCCUUUCGCAUAAAGCAGUUUCUGGGUAUAGCUUCUAUCCAUAGAAUUCUGCUGCUAUUUGAAUCAUUUGAUUAUUGACUUGCUUUGCUAUAUCUGAAUAUGCUGAUCAAGGAGCGAAAGGUGUGCCUAGGACGAAGAUAGUGGUGACAGUCAUUUCUACUGCUGCUCUGUUAGCUGUGGUGAUUGCAGCUGGCUAUUUGGUUCACAAAAGAAGGAGAAAUAUAGUAGGUAUAAUAUUGCUCCAUUUUCCUUCAAAACUUUAUAGCCAUUUGCUUGCAUUUUUAUGAUAGCCGUUUCCUUUCAAUCAAUAUUUAUAUGAGUUCAAUUUCCCUGUAUCAAAUCUUCAAUAAAAUCUUUCACCAAGUAGAAUAAGUUUUUAUAUGCAACAAUAACUGUACGUUUGUUUCAAGAUGAAGAGUUAACAGUGCAUAUCAUUUAGAUCAAGGGCAAGGUAAUUAAACUUGUAAAUUUUUGGUUGGAAUAGCAGGUUUACUUACUUGCAUUUAGUGUUAUAUCAAUACACACCUCUUUUUCACCUAUGGUUCUUUAUUUACUUGCACUUUCAUAUUGAAUGGAAAAUAGCUUUAAUACAAAUUUACAGAGAAAGAACCUUCUCAUCAAGAACACGAAAAUUGUAGUUACUAGUUAGUAGUUUGUCCAGUAUACGUACUGCAUAUGUGCUUUCAGUUAAUAUUAUCCAAUAUUUCAGAGAAAACAGAAAACAACAGGGAAACUGAUCAGGUUCAAAACAUGGACCUGGAGCUACCACUGUUUGAGUUAGCUACAAUUGCUAAUGCCACCAGUAACUUUUCAAUCAACAACAAGCUUGGAGAAGGUGGCUUUGGACCUGUUUACAAGGUAAACUUGAAACUUGCCAGUCAAAAAUAAUUAUUUUACCGGGUAACUAAAUUCACAUAUAUGUCUGGGCAGGGCACGCUAGUGGAUGGGCAGGAAAUUGCUGUGAAGAGGCUUUCGAAGAUUUCUGAGCAAGGAUUGAAGGAGUUAAAGAAUGAAGUUAUACUAUUUUCCAAAUUACAGCAUAGAAAUCUUGUAAAGCUUCUUGGCUGCUGCAUUCAGGGAGAGGAGAAAUUGUUGAUUUAUGAAUUCAUGCCCAACAAAAGCCUGAACUCUUUCAUUUUUGGUCUGGGUCCCUAUAACCUUAAAAUAAUCAGCUAGCUUGUGCCUUGAUUAUAGACGUUUCUUAUGUAUUUUCAGAAAAUUUUGUACUAACCUUAAUGUGGUAAUUUGUAGAUCAAGAAAGAUGUAAGAUAUUGGAUUGGUCCAAGCGUUUCCACAUUAUUUGUGGGACUGCUAGGGGUGUUAUGUACCUUCAUCAAGAUUCUAGAUUGAGGAUUAUACAUCGAGAUCUCAAAGCAAGUAAUGUGCUACUCGAUCAAGAUAUGAACCCAAAAAUUUCUCUGUACCUUCAUCAAGAUUCUAGAUUGAGGAUUAUACAUCGAGAUCUCAAAGCAAGUAAUGUGCUACUCGAUCAAGAUAUGAAUCCAAAAAUUUCGGAUUUUGGUUUGGCAAGAGCUUUUGGUGGAGACGAAACAGAAGGAAACACAAAAAGAGUGAUUGGAACAUAGUAAGUACUUCUUGUCAUGUGAUCUUUACGAUUCACUUGCACUGAUUAAUGAAAAGUAACUUAUAUAUUUUAAUCUUUUGAAGUGGUUAUAUGGCACCGGAAUACGCUAGUGAUGGGAAAUUCUCAGUAAAAUCCGAUGUCUUCAGCUUUGGAAUUUUAUUGCUGGAGAUAAUAAGUGGAAAGAAAAAUAGAGGAUUUUAUCAUUCCGACAACAAGCUUAACCUUAUAGGACAUGUAAGUAAAAUGCAUACUGUACCGUACAUCCGCCUUGGCCGUACAGCAGUUAUGCGUGCAACAGCAUCCAAAGGACAGGCCAAGUAUGCCCUCAGUGAUUCUGAUGUUGGGCAGCGAGACUGUGUUGCCUCAGCCAAAGCAACCCGGUUACUUGGCGGACAGGAAAUCUACCAGACAAGAUUAUUCAUCAAGCACGCCUGAAUCAUGUUCAACUAAUACAAUUACGAUCUCUGAGUUGGAGGGUCGGUAGAGAAUCUAUUUGUGGUAUCAUGCCUUAUUCUACUUUGUCAAGUGCAAAAGCAGUAAUAUGUCAACAAAAUGGAAAGUUAAGAUAAAUGCUUGGAUAAAAAAUGAUGAGGAUCAUCCAGUGAAUGCAUGUUGUGGAUCUAAAAGUUCGGAGGACGAGCCAAUUUUGCAGCAGACUACUUGGCCAAAAAUGCGGGCUCUAUACCUCUCGGAUUUCAUGUUUAUCAAGAACCACCUGUGGGUCAUGAUCCUUGGCUUUGUUAUGAUAUGUAUGGGACAAUGAUUCCCCGCUCGGUUGUGUCUUAGCUUGGCUAAGCAUUUUUUUGGUUAAAAAAAAAAAAAUAGAAUGUUGACUAAUGCUCAUAUCGAAAUUGUAAAUUAGAGGUACUGUGAGCAGUGUUGGGUCCACAAAAUGAUUAACCGAGAAUUAAAUUAAAUAAAAGCAGGAUGUUAUAAUUUUUUUUUAUAUAAAAUAUUUAAUAAUACAUUUAUGAGAAUAUCUUUGGUGCUUUUGGAGCAUUCUUAUCUAUUCACAAUUCAUCACUUGUUUAUAUAUGUCAUCAUGAUUAGUAGAAGCAUACACAUGACAAAGAGUAAAUGAAAAAAAUAGAAGUACCCAAGAUUUUUCCUAUGUUUUGAAAAACAUGUGCAAUAUACUCAUUAUCAAUACUAAGAAGCACGUCCUUUUCUACAUAAACAACAAAAUUAAUAUUCAUCCAUUCAUCUCUCAUUCAAUUUCAGCAUUAAUUCUUCAUGAACUGAAUUGCUGAAAAAGUUCUCUCUACUGUGACUGUGGGAACCAAAAGAAUUAUAGCUAAGUGUCACCAACGAAUAUAUUAAUAUUGUAAUGGGUACACUUUAUCUGUUUUAGUCUCAAACUAUUCUUUUAGCAACUUAUUGAUUCCCUUCAUUCCAGCAAACCCGCCUAAUUGUUGUUUUCUAAUUUAACCCAAGCCCUAAUUUUCUUUUUAGAACAAGAAAGAUAAAAUUUGUGAUUGGAGGAGUGGCUAAUUAUGAUUGUUAAUAAAUUUGAAUCUAUUUUUCGAAAUAGAAAAAAUAUUUUGGGUUGUGGGUUAUUAUUAUUUUUAAAUAAAGCGUGAGUUUCAAAGUUCAAGUUAAAAUUUAAAUUUUGUAGGUUUAUUAUGAAUGUAUAGAGGCUAUUUUAAUAGAUUGAUGAAGGUUAAUUAGAAACCCAAAUGAUUUUUUCUUUUAUUUUUUUUGUCUUUCACAUGCUAAAUCUACCACUCAUACCGAUAAGAAUUGGGAUGCUUUAUUUUUAUCCUAAUGAUCAUAAUAAAAAUCUUAUAAAAUUUUCACUAUUUUAUUAAAAUUAUUAUUUAAAAAUUAUAUUUACCCCAAAAAUCUUUGUGUUAAGUAAUCUACUAAUUAUAAUAACCCAUGACCAAAAAUAUUGGACAUGUCUUCUUUUUUUUUUUUAGUAAUUAUACACUCACAUCACGCUUUUACGAUUAAUUGAGUAAACAUGUAGGAUAAACGAUUUUAUAAUAGAUUGUCUCACAAUUUAAAUUUACCAAAUAUCCUCAGAAAUUAUUUGUAAAGUUGACUACUUCAAAAGUCAAGUUUGAAUAUUAAUUAAUUGUGAGACUAUUCGGAUUGAAUCCAUAAAAUUCUUUUUAAAUUUUCUUUACAACUUAUAACAUACUUUUCAGAAAGUUUAUCGAGUACUAAUUCAGAAAUUUAUUUCAAUAUAUAUUAAGAAAAAUUAUUUGGUUAAGAGAAAUUAGCCCCUUUGAAAAAUUGAGUUCGUGAGGCAUGAGCUCAUCAUUAACCAACCCAUCAAAUUAUUCAAUAAACACAUUUGCCUCACACAUCCAUAAUUAAUUAAAAGGAUGGAAUUAUUUGAACUUAUGAAAUUUCUCAUAACAUCCAUUUAUUUAAUAUAUCCCCUAUCAAGAUCUUAAAAUUAAAUUUUAACUCUAUAAGCCGCUUAAUACCUCACAAAUAACCGAUUUAUGGUGGGUGCAAUAAUUUAGAUCAUUAAAUUAUUUAUUGUUUUUGGUCAUUUUUAUUUAAGAUUAUUUUUGUACUAUAAAGUUUUAUUUAAAAUAGGUCUAAGGUGCAUUUUUAUGGGGGCCCAAAUGACCUUAAAAUUAGAAAAAGUUAAAUUAUACCAUAUAAAAGUAAAACCUCUUGUAAUUCCUAAACUAUCCUUGAUUAGAUUUCUUUUUUUAAUUUUAAUAUUUUCUCUCAUCUCAGAACUCAUAAGCUGCUAUAUCCUUUCUUGGUAAGAUGCUCUGUUCAGGCUUCAAUGUUGUUGGCUUGAAAUGGCAACUGAACUCGAAUCAAUUCUCAUGCAUGGGUUGGGAAAUUUGCUCAACUUAUAAUUGGUAGGUUUAUGCCUUUGAUCAAACUCAUUUCGCCUAUCCAAGAAUCUGCAAAAUUAAUUGGUAUUAUCAUGUCGAUGCUGCUUAUAAUUAGUAGCGCUUGCAUUGCCCUGAAUCCAGGCACUGCUUAAGUAGAGUUGGGCUUGCUGAUUCAUUUUAGUGACAUAUCAAAACAUUAAAAAAAAAAAAAUCAGGACUUGUUUGUCGAAAUUUACAAAUAUUUUGUUCUUUAAUUAAUUUUUAUUAUAUCAAACAAUAGAACUGCAGUGUAGUUAAACCCGUUGCUUACACCUGGGCAACAUAGUUUCGUGUUCUUUUUUUUUUUUAUAGUUUCUGUGAUGGCAAGUUAUAUAUAUGUCUUUUAAUUUUUCAAUUAUUGCGGCAACGAACAUGUUAAAUAAUUUGCGGUGGAAAAGGCACCAAUAUUGACUCAAUAUGUCAAAUUUCUAGAAAAUUUUAACAUCAAAUGCCUUUUUUCCAUUGUUGUAAGUAUAAGUCAAAUUUCUUGCAAAAUUUAUUUGCGUGUGACGAUUUUUUUUUUUUUAAGUGCAGACAGCCCACCCUUCACAUAUUCAUAGAGAUGUAGAAUUUUCAGCUGCAAUUAACAGUUGCUCUACGUUACCGGUGUUCCACAUUUUACAAUAUUAAAUAGAGAAUUUUGAGUCCAGAAGCAAUCACUUUCAGGUCAGCGCCCUCCAAGAUGGAUUAUCAGUCAUGGUGUUUAAUUAUAUUUAUUUAAUUUGUUAGAGAGGGCUCUACGCCUAUAGAGUAUAACAAAUGGAUGUACUUUCGUUUUCGUUCAUCUGUUGUAAGCUACUGUUUUUCUUGUCUGAAUCCUCUUUUGCUUCCGACACCAUUACUUCAUCUCAGUCCCUCAGCGAUGGCAGGACCUUAGUUUCAAAAGAUGGAAGCUUUGAGCUUGGUUUCUUCAGUCCUGGUAGUUCCAAGAAUCGUUACGUGGGAAUUUGGUACAAAAAUAUGCCAGUUAAAACUGUUGUUUGGGUUGCAAACCGAAUCAACCCCAUUAAUGACUCUUCUG